rnacentral:rRNA from 1 species
AAGCAGCAAUAGCUCAAAUUUGAAAUCUGGCGUCUUCGACGUCCGAGUUGUAAUUUGUAGAGGAUGCUUCUGAGUAACCACCGACCUAAGUUCCUUGGAACAGGACGUCAUAGAGGGUGAGAAUCCCGUAUGCGGUCGGAAAGGUGCUCUAUACGUAGCUCCUUCGACGAGUCGAGUUGUUUGGGAAUGCAGCUCUAAAUGGGAGGUAAAUUUCUCUAAAGCUAAAUAUUGGCCAGAGACCGAUAGCGCACAAGUAGAGUGAUCGAAAGAUGAAAAGCACUUUGGAAAGAGAGUUAAAAAGCACGUGAAAUUGUUAAAAGGGAAGGGAUUGCAACCAGACUUGCUCGCGGUGUUCCGCCGGUCUUCUGACCGGUCUACUCGCCGCGUUGCAGGCCAGCAUCGUCUGGUGCCGCUGGAUAAGACUUGAGGAAUGUAGCUCCCUCGGGAGUGUUAUAGCCUCUUGUGAUGCAGCGAGCGCCGGGCGAGGUCCG